CGCCAGCCCGGCCCUGCGCUCUGCGCGCGGGCGGAGACGAAGGCGCCCGGGUGGGCUUGGCAGCGUGGAGGGGACUUCAAAGGCCGCCCGUGCAAUUCGUGUGUAUUUCCCUCAAUUAACAGCAUUUCCUGUGCCCUGCUUCCCGGCCGCCCCGCCCCGCCGCGCCCCCCCCCUUCCCCCCCGGCCCAGCCGGGCAGCUGGAGCUCGGAGAGCCGAGCCUGCGCUGAGGCCCCUGUCCGCGCGUGGGCGCCUGCAGGGUUCUGGGGAGCCUGGGGUGGGCCCUGUGAAGCAGCGCAGGGUUUGGAGUCGCAGGUCCCAGCUGGUUGAGGCAGAAUGUCGGGUGCAUUUGUUGUCAGGUGGACCCCCUCCACUUGGGGGCGGCUUGACUGGCCUCCGCUGGAGAACAACAGCCUGAGGAGAAACUCCACAACUAAUCCACAUCCUGAGCCUCUACACUGGCUCUCCCAGAGGCCUGCGGUGGGCAAGGCCGUCGGAGCCAAGACCCUUUGGAGGGUCCAGUCCAGGCGAGGCUUCUAGGCCUUCUCCAGGUAUGUCCAAUGCAUCAAGACUCUUCUGUUUAAGAAAAGAGUGGAGCUGGGGAUCUGAUUGAAGUAUUUAAAAAGAAAAAUACAGGGCCCGGGGUUCAGCUCAGCAGCACAAGCACCUGCCUUGAAAGUGUGCAGUUGUGAGUUCGAUCCCUGGUACCGAUAAAAAGGAAAAAGACAAAAAAUAAAAAAUAAAAUAAAAAUACAAAAAAAAAAAAAUGGAACUGGCAAUGCUGCUCAGUGUCUUGCUUAGCACUGCAAAAAUCAAACAAAAAACAAAGGAGGAAUGCAGGGCUCAGCUUGGCCAUGAAAGGAUGAACUACACAAGAAAAGAGUGUUUCAGUAGCCCGUUCUGCUCUGCAUUGUCAAAUCAGCUC